AACGAACGCUGGCGGCAUGCCUAACACAUGCAAGUCGAACGAGACCUUCGGGUCUAGUGGCGCACGGGUGCGUACCGCGUGGGAACCUGCCCUUAGGUUCGGAAUAACUCCCCGAAAGGGGUGCUAAUACCGGAUAAUGUCUUCGGACCAAAGAUCUAUCGCCAUUGGAUGGGCCCGCGUUGGAUUAGCUAGUUGGUAGGGUAAAAGCCUACCAAGGCGACGAUCCAUAGCUGGUCUGAGAGGAUGAUCAGCCACACUGGGACUGAGACACGGCCCAGACUCCUACGGGAGGGAGCAGUGUGGAAUAUUGUGCAAGGAGCGAAGGCCUGAUACAGCAAUGCGGCGUAAGUGAUGAAGGCGUUAGGGUUGUAAAGCUCUUUUACCCGAGAUGAUAAUGACAGUACCGGGUGAAUAAGCUCCGGCUAACUACGUG
rnacentral:rRNA from 1 species